CUCCUCUCCUCUCAAAUCCUCUCAAACACAGAAGAAAAUCAUCAGAGCAUACGAUUUUUUCUACCACAUAUGCGAUUCGUAUUUGGAACAUCUUCUCACUCAUACGAAUCGUACUCAGAUCAAGUAUCGUGCUAGAACGUACAAACGAUCAGGUUCUUCGUUUUUCUUCUGCAACAAAUCAUGGAUCUUCAUCAUCCAAAAUCGGAAGUAAACAAGGAGGUCACCAGGCUUGCAUGAAAGGGUGAGCUUGGUACAAUCUUUGCUCUUGGUAAAAUCAAUAAACAUUAGUUGAUGGAAGGGAAGGAGAUUUAUUUCUCAAACACAACCGAGAUAUCAAAUAAGUGAUAUACGUCAGGCCUGUGGCUAGAAUCAAGAUGAAAUAAAAGAUAUAUGCAAGGGGACUCCCAUGGAAAUGACAUCCCACUUCAGGACUAGAAUGAUUUCUCUCGAAUAAAUAUAUUAGUCGAGACUUAACAUCUCCCAUUGAUGUUUUGAACUGGGACCGUUAGCUCAUGACUCGGAACUCCUUAUUGCCAGUAUUAUAUAUAAAGUAUUUCAUCUACAUUUGAGAAAUAACAAUAAGACUGAACUUUUUUCUUUCCAAAGAGUUUUUUUUUUCCAAUUGGAAGUCAGUCCAAUUUUUUAGAUGAGUGGUGCAGUAGUGAAACAAGUUAUUCUUUAAAAUCCUUCAUUCAGGUACUACUCUGUUUCACAGAAGAAGAAAAAAGUAUAGAAAACCUUUCAUUCUGGAUCAUCUUAAUGAUGUUUUUUGCGACCGCAUAGAUGGUACUGAUGAGCUUGGUAACAUUACUCGUAAACUUAGUUCACUCAUUUUCUCGGUAAGUGCUGUAAUUUCUUCCUUUACAUUUAAAAAUAAGUGGUGCUCAGUAUCUGUUUUCAGUACUGCAACUUAGGAAUUGACUAAUGCGUGUUUUUUUUAACUACUGAUGCAUAUUUCAAUAAAUCAUUUUAAUCUCCUUUUAGGAAAGUAUUUACCUGAUUGGUAAGUAAAUCAAGACUAGAAAUUUUAAGUGAUUUGAAGACAAAUCGGAAAAAAGUGUUUUGUUUUCCAUUAGCAAACCUGGCCUGAAUUUGGCUACUGAACUUACCAUUACAGGCAUUCCUUAUGGUACUUCUUACUUUGCAAAUUAUUGAGACUGUUUAGACAUAUUGCUUUGUAGGGUUGUUUUCCAUUGUGGAUUAAAACAACUAAAAUAAGAAUGCGAAAAAGAAAGAGGAGUGGAUGGGAGAGUCUCAAUGCUUUUAUUAUUUUUUGCAUUUGAUAGUUUCAAGAGCUAUCUCAUCCAAGUAGGGAUGCAAGUAAUGAGAGAAAGUCAAGUCAUCCCAUGGCUGCAGUACUGGUGGAUUACGAAGGUUCAAACUCUAUUAAACCAGUCCCUCAGGUCAUGGUAACACAGACGAAGAACUGCUUUUCUAAAGGAGCUUAAUUUAUUCAAAUGGACAUCGGCUGCGUACAAGACACUAACCUCUUUUUCAAACUUUUCGUGUUGAUGGAGGACAUGGUACUAUCUUACAUAAUGCAGUGGCUCAAGAUGACUUUGGGGUGCUUGGGGUGUUGACAUACAUACCCAACAUUCAAACAAGGAAAAAAAAUGACGAGAAGCAGCAGAAGAUGCCUGAACUGACAAUACUCCUCCAUUUUGCUUUUACGUUUAUCCUUAUAAAUUAUUCAACUCCAGGAUGAAGAAUGAAAAAUCUAUCAUCUUAUUGCAUGCAACUGAAAAAUAGAAUUUAAUAUAUAUAUUCCUCAUUUUUCAGCCACCUCCAAGUAGCCUUUUAUUGCCAUU